rnacentral:rRNA from 1 species
UACGAAGGGGGCUAGCGUUGCUCGGAAUUACUGGGCGUAAAGGGAGCGUAGGCGGAUUCGUAAGUCAGGGGUGAAAUCCCGGGGCUCAACCUCGGAACUGCCUUUGAUACUGCGGGUCUUGAGUCCGAUAGAGGUGGGUGGAAUUCCUAGUGUAGAGGUGAAAUUCGUAGAUAUUAGGAAGAACACCGGUGGCGAAGGCGGCCCACUGGAUCGGUACUGACGCUGAGGUGCGAAAGCGUGGGGAGCAAACAGG